UCCGGUUGAUCCUGCCGGACCUGACUGCUAUCGGAUUGAUACUAAGCCAUGCGAGUCUUUGCAGUAAUGCAAGGCGGACGGCUCAGUAACACGUAGUCAACUUACCCUAUGGACGAGGAUAAUCUCGGGAAACUGAGCAUAAUACUCGAUAGAUCAUAAUGCCUGGAAUGGUUUAUGAUUAAAAUGAUUCGUCGCCAUAGGAUGGGACUGCGGCCUAUCAGCUUGUUGGUGAGGUAAUGGCCCACCAAGGCGAUUACAGGUACGGGCUCUGAGAGGAGAAGCCCGGAGAUGGGUACUGAGACAAGGACCCAGGCCCUAUGGGGCGCAGCAGGCGAGAAAACUUUGCAAUGUGCGAAAGCACGACAAGGUUAAUCCGAGUGAUUUCUGCUAAAGAAAUCUUUUGCAAGUCAUAAAACCACUAGUGAAUAAGGGGUGGGCAAGUUCUGGUGUCAGCCGCCGCGGUAAAACCAGCACCUCAAGUGGUCAGGAGGAUUAUUGGGCCUAAAGCAUCCGUAGCCGGCUCUGUAAGUUUUCGGUUAAAUCCAUGUGCUCAACGCAUGGGCUGCCGAAAAUACUGCAUAGCUAGGGAGUGGGAGAGGUAGACGGUACUCAGUAGGAAGGGGUAAAAUCCUUUGAUCUAUUGAUGACCACCUGUGGCGAAGGCGGUCUACCAGAACACGUUCGACGGUGAGGGAUGAAAGCUGGGGGAGCAAACCGGAUUAGAUACCCGGGUAGUCCCAGCUGUAAACGAUGCAGACUCGAUGAUGCAUUGGCAUAUAGCCAGUGCAGUGUCGCAGGGAAGCCGUUAAGUCUGCCGCCUGGGAAGUACGUACGCAAGUAUGAAACUUAAAGGAAUUGGCGGGGGAGCACCACAAGGGGUGAAGCCUGCGGUUCAAUUGGAUUCAACGCCGGG
rnacentral:rRNA from 1 species